GACGAACGCUGGCGGCGUGCUUAACACAUGCAAGUCGAGCGGUAAGGCCCUUCGGGGUACACGAGCGGCGAACGGGUGAGUAACACGUGAGCAAUCUGCCCAUCACAUCGGGAUAACUCCGGGAAACCGAAGCUAAUACCGAAUACGACCACUUCAGGCAUCUGACGGUGGUGGAAAGUUCCGGCGGUGAUGGAUGAGCUCGCGGCCUAUCAGCUAGUUGGUGAGGUAACGGCCCACCAAGGCUUCGACGGUAGCCGGCCUGAGAGGGUGACCGGCCACACUGGGACUGAGACACGGCCCAGACUCCUACGGGAGGCAGCAGUGGGGAAUAUUGGACAAUGGGCGAAAGCCUGAUCCAGCAACGCCGCGUGAGGGAUGACGGCCUUCGGUU
rnacentral:rRNA from 1 species